rnacentral:rRNA from 1 species
UACGUAGGGACCAAGCGUUGUUCGGAUUUACUGGGCGUAAAGGGCGCGUAGGCGGCGUGACAAGUCACUUGUGAAAUCUCUGAGCUUAACUCAGAACGGCCAAGUGAAACUGUUGUGCUAGAGUGCAGAAGGGGCAAUCGGAAUUCUUGGUGUAGCGGUGAAAUGCGUAGAUAUCAAGAGGAACACCUGAGGUGAAGACGGGUUGCUGGGCUGACACUGACGCUGAUGCGCGAAAGCCAGGGGAGCAAACGGG